AAAUUGAAGAGUUUGAUCAUGGCUCAGAUUGAACGCUGGCGGCAGGCCUAACACAUGCAAGUCGAGCGGAAACGAGUUGUCUGAACCUUCGGGGGACGAUAACGGCGUCGAGCGGCGGACGGGUGAGUAAUGCCUAGGAAAUUGCCCUGAUGUGGGGGAUAACCAUUGGAAACGAUGGCUAAUACCGCAUGAUGCCUACGGGCCAAAGAGGGGGACCUUCGGGCCUCUCGCGUCAGGAUAUGCCUAGGUGGGAUUAGCUAGUUGGUGAGGUAAGGGCUCACCAAGGCGACGAUCCCUAGCUGGUCUGAGAGGAUGAUCAGCCACACUGGAACUGAGACACGGUCCAGACUCCUACGGGAGGCAGCAGUGGGGAAUAUUGCACAAUGGGCGCAAGCCUGAUGCAGCCAUGCCGCGUGUGUGAAGAAGGCCUUCGGGUUGUAAAGCACUUUCAGUCGUGAGGAAGGUAGUGUAGUUAAUAGCUGCAUUAUUUGACGUUAGCGACAGAAGAAGCACCGGCUAACUCCGUGCCAGCAGCCGCGGUAAUACGGAGGGUGCGAGCGUUAAUCGGAAUUACUGGGCGUAAAGCGCAUGCAGGUGGUUUGUUAAGUCAGAUGUGAAAGCCCGGGGCUCAACCUCGGAAUUGCAUUUGAAACUGGCAGACUAGAGUACUGUAGAGGGGGGUAGAAUUUCAGGUGUAGCGGUGAAAUGCGUAGAGAUCUGAAGGAAUACCGGUGGCGAAGGCGGCCCCCUGGACAGAUACUGACACUCAGAUGCGAAAGCGUGGGGAGCAAACAGGAUUAGAUACCCUGGUAGUCCACGCCGUAAACGAUGUCUACUUGGAGGUUGUGGCCUUGAGCCGUGGCUUUCGGAGCUAACGCGUUAAGUAGACCGCCUGGGGAGUACGGUCGCAAGAUUAAAACUCAAAUGAAUUGACGGGGGCCCGCACAAGCGGUGGAGCAUGUGGUUUAAUUCGAUGCAACGCGAAGAACCUUACCUACUCUUGACAUCCAGAGAACUUUCCAGAGAUGGAUUGGUGCCUUCGGGAACUCUGAGACAGGUGCUGCAUGGCUGUCGUCAGCUCGUGUUGUGAAAUGUUGGGUUAAGUCCCGCAACGAGCGCAACCCUUA
rnacentral:rRNA from 1 species